rnacentral:rRNA from 1 species
CUGUGGGUUGUAAACCUCUUUUCUCAGGGAAGAACACAAUGACGGUACCUGAGGAAUCAGCAUCGGCUAACUCCGUGCCAGCAGCCGCGGUAAGACGGAGGAUGCAAGCGUUAUCCGGAAUUAUUGGGCGUAAAGCGUCCGUAGGUGGUUAUAAAAGUCUGUUGUUAAAGCCCACAGCUCAACUGUGGAUCGGCCAUGGAAACUAUAUGACUUGAGUGUGGUAGGGGUAGAGGGAAUUCCUAGUGUAGCGGUGAAAUGCGUAGAUAUUAGGAAGAACACCAGUGGCGAAGGCGCUCUACUGGGCCAUAACUGACACUGAUGGACGAAAGCUAGGGGAGCG